UGUGCGCCGUGGUCAAAUGCUCAGACUCCUGUGGUGGCUGCUCAUGCACCAUGAAUUUUUGAGUAUGUGCUAUGGUGUCUA
rnacentral:pre_miRNA from 1 species